UACGUAGGGGGCAAGCGUUGUCCGGAAUCAUUGGGCGUAAAGAGCGUGUAGGCGGUUCGGUAAGUCGGCUGUGAAAGUCCAGGGCUCAACCCUGGGAUGCCGGUCGAUACUGCCGGACUAGAGUUCGGAAGAGGCGAGUGGAAUUCCCCGGUGUAGCGGUGAAAUGCGCAGAUAUCAGGAAGAACACCAAUGGCGAAAGCAGCUCUCUGGGACGGUACUGACGCUGAGACGCGAAAGCGUGGGGAGCGAACAGG
rnacentral:rRNA from 1 species